rnacentral:rRNA from 1 species
ACUCAAAGGAAUUGACGGGGGCCCGCACAAGCGGUGGAGCAUGUGGUUCAAUUCGACGCAACGCGAAGAACCUUACCUGGGCUCGAACGGCUUAAGAACAUCUUUGGAAACAGAGACUUCCCGCAAGGGACUUGAGUCGAGGUGCUGCAUGGCUGUCGUCAGCUCGUGUCGUGAGAUGUUGGGUUAAGUCCCGCAACGAGCGCAACCCUUGUCCUGUGUUGCCACUCCGUAAGGAAGCACUCGCAGGAGACCGCCAGCGAUAAGCUGGAGGAAGGUGGGGAUGAUGUCAAGUCAUCAUGGCCUUUAUGUCCAGGGCUACACACGUGCUACAAUGGGCGGUACAAAGCGCUGCAAACCCGCGAGGGGGAGCUAAUCGCAAAAAACCGUUCUCAGUUCGGAUCGCAGGCUGCAACUCGCCUGCGUGAAGCUGGAAUCGCUAGUAAUGCCGUAUCAGAAUGAUGGCGUGAAUACGUUCCCGGGCCUUGUACACACCGCCCGU